rnacentral:rRNA from 1 species
UACGAAGGGGGCGAGCGUUGUUCGGAUUUACUGGGCGUAAAGGGCGCGCAGGCGGCUUUUCAAGUCAGGCGUGAAAGCCCCGGGCUUAACCUGGGAACUGCGUCUGGGACUGAAGGGCUAGAGUUCGGGAGAGGAGAGUGGAAUUCCCAGUGUAGAGGUGAAAUUCGUAGAUAUUGGGAAGAACACCGGUGGCGAAGGCGGCUCUCUGGACCGAGACUGACGCUGAGGCGCGAAAGCCAGGGGAGCAAACGGG